rnacentral:sRNA from 1 species
AAACAUUUUGACAGUCAGUUGAAUAUCCUUUUCCAAACCGCCUAAGAAACAACUUAACAAAUGGUUGUCACUGAGAUCCAAUCGAGAAGUUAUAACAUCAAAGUGAUCAUGAUGUUCAACCACAGAACCAGUUUGCCUUAAUUUCAUAAGGUCCGACAUCGGGUCAUCAUCGAUCUCACCAAAACGAUCUAUCAAUAUACGGGUAAAGUCGGUCCAAGUUGGAAGGUGACCGACUGGAAGAGUCUUAAUAAAAGAAGUAUGCCACUGCAGUGCCUUUCCUUCAAAAUGGAUUACCGCUAAUUUCACCCGAAAAUCUUCCGGAGUGCCGUCAAUCGCAAAGAACGUUUCACACUGAUAAAUCCACUGUUGGAUUGCAUCACCGCCAAAGCGUGGAAAAUCGAUUCGAGCCAAACGGGUGCCACAAGAAUAGGUGGAGUUCGAGUUGCGGGCACCUCUAGAAUUAGGACUGUGCCCUGAAGCAUCAUUCCCAAAUUCAGAGGUCCGGUGUAAGGUCUCCAAGAUGCGCCGAUCAACCGAUGCUUCAAUUGCUUGCCGAAUUGAAGCUUUAGCUGAAUCCUCUAAAUGAUUAUGUUGUGAAUUUGGGGUGGCUUCUAUCCUAACACCUGAGGGAAUACGUAGUCCAAGGAAUCAUUGAGAGGAGUCCAGCAAGUUUCAUCCAUUACAUCUUUGAAAUCACUCCCAUCUUCUUUCAGCGGAGAGGCUGAUACAACAGAAGCAGUGUAGAUCAGACGCUUCACCGUCCCUGAUCUCACACAUGACAGGGCAAUGCUUUUCGCACCUGCAACUGCUGCUUCCGUAGUAUCCUUGUACUGCUAUAUAUGUAUAUAUGCAUGCAUCUUAUCAUCACAUCACUCGUGUAUAGUAUUAGAAGAUUAAAAUUAUACUUUCAAGAAUUUCAUCCCAUGCCUUAAACAGAUUGAGUUAAAGAAACGAACCUGAGAUGAACCUGGUUCGUGGGUGAAGGGAGUAGCAACAUGAAACACACACUCACAUCCUUGAAUUGCAGGAUCAAAUUGAAUUGGGUCGUAAAUAUCAGCUUCAAACAGAACCAGUUUGCCUUCUGCAUGAGGAAGGCUCUUUAACAG